CGAUAUCAUUUACAUCUUUGCAGCUACAAUUUUUGACAUAAAUCGUCAAAGGCCGCAUGAUGGAGAAAGCAAUACUAAAUGCAAAUGUUAUCCAAACUGCGGCUACAUAACUUACCAAUCGUAUAUGUCCAAGGGGCCGUUGGACUUGACAUAUUUUAAAAAUCCUCGAUCGAUAGAGUCCGGCACGAAUUUGGAAAAUUUCACAGUUCUGAGGGUUUUUGCGAGCUCUUUGAAGGCACUAACGUAUCGGCGAGAUGUUAAAUUUUCAGGGCUUGGCCUUUUAGGAUUUUUUGCUGGAUUGGUUGGGUUACUAACAGCAUUCAGUUUUAUUACAAUUGUAGAAUUUGUGUAUCUACUGGGAGCUAGACGAAGUAGGAAAAAUGAUGAAACCGAAAAACACCGUGUUCGUCGCAUUAUUGUCGCACCUUUAGAACACAACCCCAGCAAACUUCAGUUAUAAACAGUUUUUUCUUAACUUGUAGGACAUUAUUUUAGUAACCGCAUUAAUGGAAAUUUAGUAUCCCGAGUUAAAAUUACACUAAACAAUCCAAACAGAAAACACUGCCUGGACUCAACCCAAGUGAUAACUUCAGCGAUUUCCGUCGAUAUACUUAUAAAGAUUAGUGAAUAAAGUCAAUUAACCUCUGAAACCGAUAAGAUGCGUCCAAAGCUCCUGGGAGUCAAAGAAGCCAGAUAACUAGUCCAACAUGAGGGCUGUACAGUUUUUAUUAAGCUAUUUUGCUACUUUCUUUAAUAAACACAUUUCAGCCAUGUGCAAAACAUAACUCAAAUGA